rnacentral:tRNA from 1 species
UUCGGGUUCGUCUAACCGGCAGGAUAACUGGCUCUGAACCAGUAGAUCGAGGUUCGAAUCCUUGACCCGAAACCA